rnacentral:rRNA from 1 species
CCGUUUUGAAAGGCUUGCAUUAUUCAUUCUACGUCGAACAAUGGAUUAAGAGCUUGCUCUUAUGAAGUUAGCGGCGGACGGGUGAGUAACACGUGGGUAACCUGCCCAUAAGACUGGGAUAACUCCGGGAAACCGGGGCUAAUACCGGAUAACAUUUUGAACCGCAUGGUUCGAAAUUGAAAGGCGGCUUCGGCUGUCACUUAUGGAUGGACCCGCGUCGCAUUAGCUAGUUGGUGAGGUAACGGCUCACCAAGGCAACGAUGCGUAGCCGACCUGAGAGGGUGAUCGGCCACACUGGGACUGAGACACGGCCCAGACUCCUACGGGAGGCAGCAGUAGGGAAUCUUCCGCAAUGGACGAAAGUCUGACGGAGCAACGCCGCGUGAGUGAUGAAGGCUUUCGGGUCGUAAAACUCUGUUGUUAGGGAAGAACAAGUGCUAGUUGAAUAAGCUGGCACCUUGACGGUACCUAACCAGAAAGCCACGGCUAACUACGUGCCAGCAGCCGCGGUAAUACGUAGGUGGCAAGCGUUAUCCGGAAUUAUUGGGCGUAAAGCGCGCGCAGGUGGUUUCUUAAGUCUGAUGUGAAAGCCCACGGCUCAACCGUGGAGGGUCAUUGGAAACUGGGAGACUUGAGUGCAAAGAGGAAAGUGGAAUUCCAUGUGUAUCGGUGAAAUGCGUAUAGAUAUGGAGGAACCACCAGUGGGCGAAGCGACUUUUCUGGUCUGU